CACAGUGGCGCGCCGUUCCGAGCAAUGAGACUGCAGGCACAGGUGCGGCCGGAUUCCCUGUCGCUGUCCCGCGCUGAGUGAAUUUUGCCUCGGAGCUGGUCCGAGGUCGCGCCUGCUCUUUUGUGUGCCCAAGGCAGAUUUCCAGAAGUAGAAAUCUGUCUUCUAACUCUAAGGCCUUGGGAGAUGAAGGAUCCGUGAUUCAAAGGCAGAAAUAGAUGGAGUCUUGCUGUGUUCUCCAGGAUUGAGUACAGUGGCUUAUUCACAGAUGUGAUCAUACUACACUACAGCCUCAAACUCCCGGGGUCAAGCAGUCCUCCUGCUUCAGCCUCCUGAGGAGCUGGGACUACAGGCCCACAUCACCAUGCCCACUAGAUUCACAGUCAUUUUGCUUGUGGAAGGUCUUGCCUCAAUGUUGAUAGGUGCUGACUGAUCAGGGUCAGGUUGCUGACUGAUCAGAAUGGUAGUUUCUGAAUGUUGGGAAUGGCUAUGGCAAUUUCUUAAAAUAAGACAACAAUGAAGUUUGCUGCAUUGAUUGACUCCCUUUCACAAAGGAUUUCUCCAUAUCAUGCAAUGCUGUUUGAUAGCAUUUUACCCAUAGUAGAACUUCUUUCAAAAUUGGAGUCAAUUCUCUCAAACCUUGUCUCUGCUUGGUCAACUAAGUUUAUGCACUAUUCCACAUCCUUUGUUGUCAUUUCAACAAUAUUUACAGAGUCUUCACCAUGAAUAGAUUCCUUUUCAAACAACCACUUUCUUUGCUCAGCCAUAAGAAGCAACUCUUCACCCAUUCAAGUUUUAUCAUGAGAUUGCAGCAAUUCAGUCACAUCAAAUUCCACUUCUAAUUCUAGUUGUUUUUCUAUUUCCACCACAUCUGCAGGUACUUUCUCCACAGAAAUUUCAAACCUCUCAAAGUCAUCCGUGAGGGUUGGAAUCAACUUCCAAAUUUCUGUGAAUGUUGAUAUUUUGACCUCCUCCUAAUCACAAAUGUUCUUAAUGGCAUCUAGAAUGGUGAAUCUUUUCCAGAAGGUUUUCUAUGUGCUUUGCCCAGUUCCAUCAGAAGAAUCACUGUCUGUGGUAGCUCUAGCCUUAUUAAAUGUAUAUUUUAAAUAAUAACACCUAAAAAUCAAAAUGACUCCUUGAUCCAUGGGCUGUAGAAUAGACAUUGUGUUAGCAGUCAUGAAAACAAGAUUAAUCUCCUCAUAUAGCACCAUUAUAGCUCUUGGGUGACCACGUGCAUUGUCAAUGACCAGUAAUAUUUUGAAAGGACACCUUUUUUUUUGAGCAGUAGGUCUCAACAGUGGACUUAAAAUAUUCAGAAAGCUGUGUUGUAAACAGAUGUGCUGCCAGCUAGGUAUCGUUGUUCCAUUUAUAGAGCACUGGUAGAGCAGAUUUAGCAUAAUUUGUCAGGACCCUAGGAUUUUUGGAAUGGUAAAUGGGCACUGGCUUCAACUUCAAGUAACCAACUGCAUUAACUCCUAACAAGAAGAGUCAGCCUGUCCUUGAAAGUAUGAAAACAGGCAUGGACUUCUCCUCUCUAGCUAUGAAAGUCUUAGAUGGCAUCUUCUUCCAAUAGAAGUUGUUUCAUGUACAUUGAAAAUCUGUUGUUUGGUGUAGCCACCCUCUUCGAUGAUCUUAGCUAGAUCUUCUGGAUAACUUGCUACAGUUUCUACAUCAGCACUUGUUGCCUUACCUUACACUUUCAUGUUAAGGAGAUAGCUUCUUUCCUUAAACCACAGGAACGAACCUCUGCUAUCUUCUAGAUUUUCUUGGGCAACUUCCUUACUUCUUUCAGCUUUCAUAGAACUGAAUAGUGUUAGGAUCUUGCUCUGGGUUAGGUUUUGGCUUAAGGGAAUGUGGUAGCUGGUUUGAUUUAUUUAGACCACUAAAACUUUCUUCAUAUCAGCAUUAAGGCUGGUUUGCUUUAUUAUCAUUUAUGUGUUCACUGGAGUAGCACUUUAAAUUUCCUCCAAGCUUGUUUGCUUUUCACUCACAGUGUGGCUGUUUGGUGCCAAGAGGCCUAGCUUCCCAGUCUUGGCUUUCAACAUGCCUUCCUCACUAAGCAUAGUCAUUUCUAGCUAUUUAUUUAAAGUUAGAGAUGUGCAACUCUUCUUUCACUUGAACACUUAGAGGCUAUUGUAGGGUUAUUACUUGGCUUAAUUGCAAUAUUGUUGUGUCUGGAGGAAUAGAGAGGCCUGGGGACACAAAGAGAAAUGGGGAACAGCUGGUCACUGGAGCAGUGAGAACACACGCAACAUUUAUUGAUUAAAUUCGCUGUUUUAUGGGCUCGGUUCAUGGUGCUCCAAAACAAUUAUAAUAGUAACAUCAAACAUCACUGUUCACAGGUCACCAUAACAGAUAUAAUGAUAAUGAUAAUAAUAAUAAUGUUUGAAAUAUUGCAAGAAUUACCAAAAUGUGACUCAGAGAAACAAUAAAGUGAGCACAUGCUGUUGGAAAAAUGGUACUGAUAGACUUGAUCCAUGCAGGGUUGCCACAAACGAUUAAUUUGCAAAAAAAACAAACAAAAGAACAUGCAGUAUCUGUGAAGCACAAUAAAGCAUACUGCAAAU